CCCCCCUUACACACGUACAAAGGCCUUUGACGUACGUCCGGGGCGGGCGGGGGCGGGCCCGCAUGAUCGCGCGAUCGGCGGCGACCCAUUUGCGCCUCGUUACACGCUGAUAGCCGCAAACAAAACACACCCCAAGUAAUUAGAAAAAGCCUUUUCCAGAUACGGUAAUUUAAUCCGGGAACCGAAGAUGCCGCUCCCAAAAGUCUACCGGCCCUAAGUACUAAGCUGGAUAAUCUCACUAACACACAAACUUUGGAAUCCAUCGCCUUCGAACAAAGCUCCAAAAAUCCCAUCAAACAUAACGGAUUAAAAAUAACCAACGGCUACAAUGACAUCAUUUUACAAUUAGAUAUUUUUAAAUCAAACAUUCAAACAAAGCAUCGGAUUAAAUCUGAAACAAUAGGUUAAUCUGUGGCGGAAUUGAUAAGUAACCAGUUUUACUGCUACUGGUACAAAUUUGGCAAAUAUACCUACAAUGAAAAUGGGUUGCGGAUUAACCGGCUUGGCCUAGAAUUUACCAGAAAUUGUGGGAAAUCGGAUUAUAUUUGAUUUAUGGUUUGUUUCGCCGUCAAAGAUCCCGUUUGAAGGAAAAACACUGGUGUUUUAGCUUAACUCGUAAAGACAGGUUUAGUUUAC